rnacentral:rRNA from 1 species
GACGAACGCUGGCGGCGUGCUUAACACAUGCAAGUCGAGCGGAGCGGCAAACGGGUGAGUAACGCGUGAGUAACUGCCCCCCUCUCUGGGAUAACAGAUGUAAACGGCUGCUAAUACCGGAUAGUGGGGGAUGACUCGCGUCCUAUCAGCUUGUGGGUGGGGUAGUGGCCUACCAAGGCGACGACGGGUAGCCGGCCUGCGAGGGCGACCGGCCACAUUGGGCUGAGAUACGGCGCAAAGUUCUACGGGAGGCAGCAGUGGGGAAUAUUGCACAGUGGGGGAAACCCUGAUGCAGCAACGCGCGGUCGGGAUGACGGCUUUCGGGUUGGAAACCGCUUUUAGCCAUGACGCGGUAGUGGCAGAAGAAGCACCGGCUAACUCCGUGCCAGCAGCCGCGGUAAUUC